UGCUCCCUGGAACUCUGGAUGGGAGCUGAGUGGUGUUACACAACCCACCCAUGGACACCAUCACAAAUCUGUUCCUCCACUUUGCCUCUCGGGAAGGAACCGGACCUCUCAGCCCUGCACAGAGAGGGUUUGGAAUCUCACAUUCCAAAACACCUAGUGCUGUCUGCUCCUCAGGAGCAUAAUAAACCAAGAGGGAAGAUGCCCUGCAGACUGGUGCUGUAUCCUCUGAAGUUUGUCUGCUUAAUGCUCUGAAGUGCCUUCCAGCCUGGAUUAUCCUUGAUCCCAGAGUAUGGUGAAGUUGUGGAAUCCUCCUACACACAAUUUGAAAUCAGGGAUGAAAACAAGGAUGACCCAUCUUCCAGGCUAGAAGCAUAAAACUGCCUCAAAGCAUCCUGAAACACAGCUCAGUAAAAGGCA